GCCGGCACCAGUCCCAGCCAUUGUGACUGGCUUCCUGGCCCACAAAGAGUGAGUUGCAACCAGAGCCCCCGGCUUCAGUGGCCAGAGCUGGAGGCCUGCGAAGUUCAGAGCUGAGGGCUGUCCCAGCCCCUCUGUCUAUUCCCCACCAGGCCAGCCCCCACAAUUCCAGGCCUCUCUCAUCACCAAAUGCAUGGCUUUGGGUAGCCCCAGGACUCCUCAGGGGUCAGCCCAAAGGGCAUACUCAAGUCUGCCCUGGACGACUCAGGGAGAUGAUAUGAGGCUCUGACCAGCUGGCAGAUGGAAAAGGUCUUAGGAAUGGGUGUGGCGAGCCCUAAUAUUCAGAUGGAAGAGCUGGGCCAGCUCCCUUCGGCCUCUGACCUCCCACUGUUCUGCUUUCCUGAGUGGCCACUACGUGCCAAACCCUGUACACAGGCCAUUUCGCUGUGCCCUCACCCUACACCCAGAGCAACACUGACUCCGUUUCACCGAUGAGGAAAAUGAGGCUCAGAGAAGUCCAACCACCUGCCCAAAGCUUUGUUGCUGACAAGUGGCCGAGCAGGGACGCUAGCCAGCUUGGCCUGUCAUCCAGAUGUCACCUCUCACCUCAAGCAACUACUCUCUUCCUAUCCUGUCAGUGGAUGGGGCAAAGGGAAUGACUGCCCAGAGACUAAAAGAGGAGCCCGAGUCACAGCUGGCCCAUGGGGGCAGUGGGGCAAGAGAACAGAAGAAAGGUGUGCUGGAAGGCCAAGAGGGGACAUAGGCAUGCAGAUGGCCAUGUGACAGGAUGCGGCAACUGAGUCCCAAAGAGGUGUAGUGACUUGUCCAAAGUCACAAGACCAGAGCAUUCAAAACUCGGGAUUCAAACCCAGCCUUAUAUCACAUCCCCAAGCCUGCCAGCCUGGCCUGUACCCCUCUUUCUCCCUCUCCAUGUCCUGUCAUCCCCCAGUGGAAGAAUGACCAGAAAAAGCAGUGCUUUGGUCUGUGAUGGUCAAUGUCUUUACUUCU